UACGUAGGUGGCAAGCGUUGUCCGGAUUUAUUGGGUUUAAAGGGUGCGUAGGCGGCCUUGUAAGUCAGUGGUGAAAUACUCCAGCUUAACUGGAGGGGUGCCAAUGAUACUGCAGGGCUUGAGUACAGAUGAGGUAGGCGGAAUUGACGGUGUAGCGGUGAAAUGCAUAGAUAUCGUCAAGAACACCGAUAGCGAAGGCAGCUUACUGGGCUGUAACUGACGCUGAGGCACGAAAGUGUGGGAUCAAACAGG
rnacentral:rRNA from 1 species